AAUUUUUUUUUUUCUCAAAUUUUUUUUUUCCUCAAAUUUUUUUUCCUCAAAAUUUUUUUUUUCUCAAAUUUUUUUUCCUCAAAAUUUUUUUUCCUCAAAUUUUUUUUCUCAAAUUUUUUUUUUUCCUCAUUUUUUUUCGUUUCCUUAUUCAAUUUCUUUUUCCUUAUUCGAUUUUUAUUUCCUUUUUCAUAUUCAUUUCCUUUUUCGGUUUCUAUUCCCUGAAUCGGAUUCUAUUUCCUUAUUGGGUUUCUAUUUCCUUAUUCGGUUUCGAUUUCCUUAUUCGGUUUCUAGUUCCUUAUUCGAUUUUCAUUUCCUUAUUCGGUUUCUUUUUCCUUUUUCAAUAUUCAUUCCUUUUUU
rnacentral:lncRNA from 1 species